rnacentral:lncRNA from 1 species
GGUGAGACACCUCACUCUGUUACCAGAGAACCAGGGGUCACGCCAAGGCGGUCCCCACAGUGAGACACCUCACUCUGUUACCAGAGAACCAGGGGUCACGCCAAGGCGGUCCCCACAGUGAGACACCUCACUCUGUUACCAGAGAACCAGGGGUCACGUCAAGGCGGUCCCCACGGUGAGACACCUCACUCUGUUACCAGAGAACCAGGGGUCACGCCAAGGCGGUCCCCACAGUGAGACACCUCACUCUGUUACCAGAGAACCAGGGUUCACGUAAAGGAACCCAAAGGUAACACCGUCUGAAGGCUUUCCUAUAGGUUCACUGAAGGAAAGCCUAUGGUGACCCCUAUAGGAGAGCUAUGGAAGGACCUCAACCUCCCCAUAAACAGCCUCAUCCCCCUGGACUCACUCUGUCCACGAUAAUUACAGUGUUUCACACUUUAAUUAUCUUUAAUUUAUCUGUUUAUGGAAUAUGCUGUAAUUUUUCAUAAUAUCACACAUUUGACUUUUUAUGGCAUAAUAACUGACAUGUAUAUAUACAUUUUGUGUUCAAUCUUUUCUACUUAUAUUAUAAACCUGACCUUUUUAGAGAGAGAGAGAGAGAGAGAGAGAGAGAGAGAGACUCAUUCACCGCGUCUCUCCCCUCUGAUCGUGAAUGCGAGUUUCUAGUUGUUACGUUAAUCUCACCCCACCCUGGAACGCUUAUUUUGUUGCGUCUACAGACUAGACCCCUCGGUCAUCCGUCGACGGACGGAGGUAGUGUGAAUGCGCCCUGGCCUGAAUACGCGCGGACCAUGGACCUCUAAAGACCGUUUGGAAUGCGCCCGGACCGUUUUGAGUACACCAUCCGGGUCCUUUCAGUGCACUGCUUUCCCCCGAUCGUAAUUGGAACGCCCUAAUCAAACUAAGUAUAUCUGUUUGUGUUGCAAUGGCCAUGAGACAUACCAUUGACCGCCAGCAUCCCAGCUACAAAGAGGGGAAACGUAAAUUGCUUGAAAGUAAACAAGACCACCUUAUAGCUGAAGCUGAGAGAGCCGUUGAGGAGAGGAAACGUGCGCGUUCUGGUGGAGGACCUCCAUGUGGCUCCACUAGUGACGGUGCAAGACGAGGCAAGCCGAGGGGGAGGCGUGGAGGGCGACGCGGAGGGCGACGCGGAGGGCGACGCAAAGCCUCAGCCACAGUCACGUUCCCCCCAGCUGAGUGCUCCCCGUCAUCCCAUGAGGACGUUCCGCUUACUGUACCUUCAGCGCAACUGAAUCCUCAAGAGGCAUUUGAAAAGUUUGUGGAGAGGCUUUCAUCUCUAAAUGCCUCUGGUCCUUCUGCCAAGCCUCAAAGAAGCUCUGCAUCUUCAUGGACUUUUCGGCAGCAGAAAGCCUCAGAGCGCUGGACAGAAGCACGACCAAACCACCUACAAGGCCUCAUUGAAAAGGAGGCUGUUGGUCAUCCCUUGUGUUGCCUCUGCCCCAAGCCGGCUGUUAUUAGGUGCAGAGAGUGUCUCCCUGAAGAGUGGUUCUGUGGGGACUGCGAUGUACUGCAUCACAAAAAACAGCCACUCCACAACAGGGAAUGUCUGAUACGUGGGUUCUUUGAACCCAUUCCUCCAACCACACGCGUCAUGAAAGGGGAGGAUGGAUAUUUCACUCAGGAGCAAGCUUGCAUCUUGCCAACUGUGAGUGUGUCAAACUGCGUCUGCGAUGGCACAACCUUCACUGUGUUACCAGGCAAACCAGUGAUUUUAAUUAACAUCAAUGGACGUUAUGACUUGCAUCAGCCACUGUAUGUAUGUCAGACGUGCCAGCAGCAGAGGACCCCUGACAUGAAGCACUUCCUUCAGAGUGGAUAUUGGCCAGCCUCUCUCAAUACUUCCACGUUGUACACGUUGGACCUCUUGAGCUCCUUUCAGGAACUGAAAGUAAUCUCUCCAGACGUGAUUCUCCAGACAGGCCUUCGCAAAGCUCCUGGAGCAUCGCACCAAGUGUGGAGGACGAGUUAG